rnacentral:rRNA from 1 species
GAUGAACGCUGGCGGCGUGCCUAAUACAUGCAAGUCGAGCGAACAGACGAGGAGCUUGCUCCUCUGACGUUAGCGGCGGACGGGUGAGUAACACGUGGAUAACCUACCUAUAAGACUGGGAUAACUUCGGGAAACCGGAGCUAAUACCGGAUAAUAUAUUGAACCGCAUGGUUCAAUAGUGAAAGACGGUUUUGCUGUCACUUAUAGAUGGAUCCGCGCCGCAUUAGCUAGUUGGUAAGGUAACGGCUUACCAAGGCAACGAUGCGUAGCCGACCUGAGAGGGGGGUCGGCCACACUAGAACGGAGACACGGUCCAGACUCCUACGGGAGGCAGCAGUAGAGAAUCUUCCGCAGUGGGCGAAAGCCUGACGGAGCAACGCCGCGUGAGUGAUGAAGGUCUUCGGAUCGUAAAACUCUGUUAUUAGGGAAGAACAAAUGUGUAAGUAACUAUGCACGUCUUGACGGUACCUAAUCAGAAAGCCACGGCUAACUACGUG